CGCCCGCAUCAGGUUGAAACACCGGUUCCCGUGCAAUCUCCGAAGUUAAGCAACGUCGAGCCUGGUCAGUACCUAGAUGGGUAACCGCUUGUGGAUACCAGGUACUGCAAG